rnacentral:rRNA from 1 species
CUUUCUCCGCCGGCGACCGGCGCACGGGUGAGUAACACGUAUGCAACCUCGCCCCUGUCAGGGGGACAACCCGCCGAAAGGCGGGCUAAACCCGCGUAUAUGCCACCGGGGGCAUCCCGGAGGCAGGAAAGGCUUCGGCCGGACAGGGAUGGGGCAUGCGGCGCAUUAGGCAGUAGGCGGGGGUAACGGCCCACCUAACCGACGAUGCGUAGGGGGUUCUGAGAGGAAGGUCCCCCACACUGGUACUGAGACACGGACCAGACUCCUACGGGAGGCAGCAG